rnacentral:rRNA from 1 species
AUAGAGACUUCGGUCAAUUGAAACUUUGACUUAGUGGCGGACGGGUGAGUAACGCGUGAGGAACCUGCCUUUCAGUGGGGGACAACAGUUGGAAACGACUGCUAAUACCGCAUAAUGUUUUCGGACCGCAUGGUCUGGAAACCAAAGCUUUAUGUGCUGAAAGAUGGCCUCGCGUCUGAUUAGAUAGUUGGUGGGGUAACGGCCCACCAAGUCAACGAUCAGUAGCCGGACUGAGAGGUUGAACGGCCACAUUGGGACUGAGAUACGGCCCAGACUCC